rnacentral:rRNA from 1 species
GACGAACGCUGGCGGCGUGCUUAACACAUGCAAGUCGAACGGAAAGGCCCUGCUUUUGUGGGGUGCUCGAGUGGCGAACGGGUGAGUAACACGUGAGUAACCUGCCCUUGACUUUGGGAUAACUUCAGGAAACUGGGGCUAAUACCGGAUAGGAGCUCCUGCUGCAUGGUGGGGGUUGGAAAGUUUCGGCGGUUGGGGAUGGACUCGCGGCUUAUCAGCUUGUUGGUGGGGUAGUGGCUUACCAAGGCUUUGACGGGUAGCCGGCCUGAGAGGGUGACCGGCCACAUUGGGACUGAGAUACGGCCCAGACUCCUACGGGAGGAAGCAGUGGGGAAUAUUGCAAAAUGGGCGGAAGCCUGAUGCAGCAACGCCGCGUGCGGGAUGACGGCCUUCGGGUUGUAAACCGCUUUCGCCUGUGACGAAGCGUGAGUGACGGUAAUGGGUAAAGAAGCACCGGCUAACUACGUG